GAAUAUUGAAUUAGAAACUGUGAUCUGGUGAUCCCAUGAGAUGUUUGAACAGAGAGAGAUGAGAAGCAGCCCUCUGCACCAGUGAAGAAGUGAGAAGACAUCUCUGUUCUCUGAGAUGAAGAAUCCUUUGCCUUUGGAGGUGUUGAUCUUUAAAAGCAAUAAAUUUGUUUCUUCAGUGGUACCUCAGGAUGUCUGACCUACAAGAGAGAUGCCCAAAAGGAUGUGCUUCCACCAAAGCAGGAGACAUCUCCAGCUGAAUUGUAAUGGGAUGUUGUCAAUUCAACAAGAAAUCUGCUUUUUCUUGCGGGUCAGAUGAAAACUUCCAGGCAUGGGGAAGUUGGUGACAGAGGAAAGCAGGAGUGCUGCUGCCCAGGGAAGUCCUCUGUGGGCACUAGGUGCUCAUGGGCUGGAUGAAGUGAGAGGAGCUGGAUCUUGCUUACAGAAUUUCCCAGGAUCACUCUUGCCGCAGGGUCUACAUGGCCAAGGGUAGAGUGUGGUGAUUAUGGAAAAUAUUUUGAUAUUGUCACAUUUCACUUCAUGAACUGGACAGGGACACCUGGAGAACACUUCCCUGCUGGCAGGUUUUAUCUCACUUUAACUGGGUCACUCUAGCACCAGCUCACCAUCACCCCCAAGCCCCUUUCCCUCUCCUCCCUGGAUCUCUAUGUCAGUGCAGGAGCACCCUUGGCAGAGGCACCAUUUCAUCUCCACUCCUGGUUUGCUCCAGGUCGUUUCCGCACUCUUUAGGAACUCGCUGUUGUCGUCGAGAUGGCCACAGCACUCAAGAGUGCUUCUUUAAAAACUUCAGAGGGCUCCAAGCAUCAGUACCUUGUUAUCUAAAAGUCUUUCAUACCUUUUCUAUGUUGCAGUCCCAUGAGUAGCUCCACACAGCUCUGACUCUUUUUUCUCUUUCUACCCUCCUUCUGCAGUUCCAGCUUGCUCCUUCCUUUCCCUAGCAUGGCUGCCUUACCCUGUCUGUCCCUCACAUGACCUCCUGUCUCUUCCUUCUCACAGCACAACCAGCAGACUCCAACUAACUCCUCUACCAACUAAUUCACUCUUUUAUCACAGCCAUAGCUGUGAGGGCAAGGCCGUUCCCAUUCUUUGAUAAUUAACACAGCUGCAAUGUAUGGGGGGCAAGAUUGCCUUUAGCACUAUCUCUGUCUUCCCACAACUCGCCUCAUUUCUGGGCUGCUUUUGAUUACCCCAAGCUUUUUGGGGAAUGAUACAAGCUCCUGCUGAGGUGAUUUCAGCCCAGAAAUAUCCUAGUGUUCUAGGGUGACUUUAUGAUGCUUGUAUCCCCAAUCGUCUGUUCUGUUUGUGCUGUAUAUUGUGUUCUGUACCUUUAAGACUAGUUUUGAGAGCAAAGCAGGGAAAGAAGUGUGCAGUUUGUUUUGAGAAAGCAGUGUUCACUCCUACACAUUCUUUCUCUGGAGUGUGGUUCGUCUGAGGCACGGACAGCAGCAGGACAGAGAUCUUUUUGCUUUUAGUUUCAGCUGGCUAGGGCAGAGAAGUUCCCUGGAUUGUUUUUGGGUUUUUUUUCCUUUUUCUUGGGACUGUUUAAACCUGCUUUGGACUGAAAAACGCAGAAGAAUACCAAGAGCUUGCACCUGGGGCCCACCAGGACCUGGACCCCUGGAGGAACUGAUAAAAGACUGGGAGAGCCAAGCUAACCCAUGGCAAGGACUUUCUGAAAUUGCCAUCUCACUUCAGAGCAAUGAAAGGUUUUAUUGUUUCAUAUUAUUCAUUCUUUGUGCUUGUGGGCAAUUUUGUUUGUUAAAUAAAUAGGUUUUUUUCACUUU